GACGAACGCUGGCGGCGUGCUUAACACAUGCAAGUCGAACGGAAAGGCCCUGCUUCUGUGGGGUGCUCGAGUGGCGAACGGGUGAGUAACACGUGAGUAACCUGCCCUUGACUUUGGGAUAACUUCAGGAAACUGGGGCUAAUACCGGGUAGGAGCUCCUGCUGCAUGGUGGGGGUUGGAAAGUUUCGGCGGUUGGGGAUGGACUCGCGGCUUAUCAGCUUGUUGGUGGGGUAGUGGCUUACCAAGGCUUUGACGGGUAGCCGGCCUGAGAGGGUGACCGGCCACAUUGGGACUGAGAUACGGCCCAGACUCCUACGGGAGGCAGCAGUGGGGAAUAUUGCACAAUGGGCGGAAGCCUGAUGCAGCAACGCCGCGUGCGGGAUGACGGCCUUCGGGUUGUAAACCGCUUUCGCCUGUGACGAAGCGUGAGUGACGGUAAUGGGUAAAGAAGCACCGGCUAACUACGUG
rnacentral:rRNA from 1 species